rfam:Porphyromonas macacae strain COT-192_OH2859 contig_17, whole genome shotgun sequence.
GCAGCAGACCGGUCUGUCGCAUCGUUACGAUGAGGAACGUCCGGGCAACAUAGAGUAUCACACUUCCUAACGGGAAGCUAUCUGUGAGGGUAGAUUGCACGUAACAGAAAAGAACCGCCGUAUAAAACGCUGUAUAUGCCUUGUGCAUAAAGAGUGGAGGUAAGGGUGAAAAGGUAAGGUAAGAGCUUACCGGAUGCUUCGGUGACGAGGCAUGCCGUACGAAUUGUGAGUUGUAAGAUCAUGUACACCGGCGCUUGAGGGUUACUCGUCCGAUGUCGGGGGGUAGAUCGCUGGAGCCACCGGGUGACCGAUGGCCAAGAUAAAUGACAGACACCUGAAGGCUCGUGAGCCGUCAGGCACAGAACCCGGCUUACAGGUCUGCUGCUUCC